rnacentral:rRNA from 1 species
GACGAACGCUGGCGGCGUGCUUAACACAUGCAAGUCGAACGGAAAGGCCCUGCUUUUGUGGGGUGCUCGAGUGGCGAACGGGUGAGUAACACGUGAGUAACCUGCCCUUGACUUUGGGAUAACUUCAGGAAACUGGGGCUAAUACCGGAUAGGAGCUCCUGCUGCAUGGUGAGGGUUGGAAAGUUUCGGCGGUUGGGGAUGGACUCGCGGCUUAUCAGCUUGUUGGCGGGGUAGUGGCUUACCAAGGCUUUGACGGGUAGCCGGCCUGAGAGGGUGACCGGCCACAUUGGGACUGAGAUACGGCCCAGACUCCUACGGGAGGCAGCAGUGGGGAAUAUUGCACAAUGGGCGGAAGCCUGAUGCAGCAACGCCGCGUGCGGGAUGACGGCCUUCGGGUUGUAAACCGCUUUCGCCUGUGACGAAGCGUGAGUGACGGUAAUGGGUAAAGAAGCACCGGCUAACUACGUG